GGUAAGGGUCAAUACGAGAGCGUCGAAGUGAAGGAAUCGGGCCAGCUGGUGUGCUAGUGAAUAUAUGGUCAGAGGUAAUAUAAAUUCAAGCCCCGUGUUGUGGCCUUUGUGACUGGGCCUAUUUCAGCCCACAAGACAAGGUCAAUUUUUUGUUUUUGCUCAAAAGAAAAAAGGGUCAACUUGUUUCGUGUGCAUUUUUCAAACUGUGUGCAUGCAAAACCAAAUGGCACCAGAGGGUGUAUACGAGCUUGUUUCUAAUAAUUUUCAGGUGGCUUUUUCUGCUCGUUACAUUGAGUGCUGAAGUUAUAAUAGAUAAUGGGUUAACAUUGUGGAAUCCUAAAGAAACAAAAUGUUGUGAUUAUUAUCAGAAAUGUUUUUCUUAAGUGGAUCUAUUAUGCUACAUGAUGGAACAACUACUAAUGGAGAUACACUUAAGUUCCGGAAGAUGCACAAUUUAAUGUCCAUUUUUUGCACAGCACAAUGUAAUGUGCUAUAUGUAUGGUAUUUCAGAGUGGUGAUUAAUUUCAAAUAUCAAAAUCUAGGUGACAUUUAAUAACACGUUCUCCAGAAGAUAUUUCUCUUGAUGCCCAAAACAUUAAUGUGAGAAAUAUUAUAAGAGCGAGAAUGGAUACUUCGAGACUUAUGCCUGUAUAUAAAUAACACAAUAAUAAACAUAGGUUGAGAAACAUCACCCAUAAAGAAUAUAGGGAUAGGAGGAAAAAGAAAUAAGAAACCACUCCUCAUGGCACAUAAGAAGAACAACACACAGGCUCUAUGUUUGGUAGUUCUUCUGAUGAUGUCUAGCACUUUAUGGUCAUGUGAAGCAAUUGCGAGAAACCAAGGUACAACUGGAUUGUGGACUUCAUGUACGCCUUUCCGAGCAUGCCAGAUACCAACGCCCAACAAUGUUGCUAUGUGCAAGAUUAGCUGUGAAUGGCGUGGUUACAGCUUUGAAAAAAGUCACUGCGACCGUUCUAUAUGGUGUUGUUGCGAAUGGUGAAUGCUAUGGAAAUGAUGGAUACAAUGUACUUUCAUGUGCCAAAACCUUGUGCUAGUAAGAUAUGGAAACUUAAAAUAAAUUAUACAAACUGAUUUUGGCUCGA